AGAACUUGUUCACCAUAUAAGAACUUGUUCGUUAUGCUUCAGAAGAUUGGAGACUGUUGAGAAUUAGGCUUGGGGUUGAUUAAUGAUUGUGCAUUGAGUCCCCUAUACAGAAUUUUAUUGUUGUUAACAACCAUUUGAUCAAUAAAUAUGAGAGAUGCCCUCUCAAAAAAAAAAAAAAAAGAAAAAGAAAAAAGAAAAAAGAGAGAGAGAAGCAUCUUACUAUGCUGAUGGACAGUGACUGUAAUGGGAUAUGUGGGGAGUACUUGAUAAUAGGGGGAGUCUAGUAACCAUAAUGUUCAAGUAAUUGUACAUUAACAAUAUCAAUAAUAAUAAUAAUAAUAAGUUAAUUUAAUUUAAUUUUAAAAAAGGAGAGAUAGAGUAAGAGAGAGAGAGAGAGAGAUACUGCUUGAUGUACUGAGGCCUCAAGAGACUGUAAUGGCACAUUUAUCCAAUCCUCCAUACUUAAGGAGUAUGAGCAUUAAACCACAGCAGCCAAUUAAGAAUCCUUCCACUUUUGAAUCAAUUAUAGAGGAGAAAAUUAUAAACCUCCCUCAGAGUUUAAGGAGAAAAGAAAAAAUAAAAUAAAUAAAAAGGAGACUCAUCAAAAUAGUGGCUAAACAGGCAAAGCCUAUACACAGGAAAAAUGUACUUCCUAAUCCUAAAACACAAGAUUAAUGCACUUUGUUUGAGCACCACUAUAUUACAGCUUUCAGGGAUGCUUUACGUGCCAUAAAAUUCAUCCACUGUAAAUGUAAAAUUCAAUGAUUUUUAAUGAACACGUUUAAUAAAUUAAUUUCAAUGAUGGUAACGGUCACAAUGACUCAGCUUUAACAUUUUCAUUACCUAAAAAAAACUCCCAGAAGCCUAUUUGUAAUCGAUCCUCUGCUCCAAGAAACCAAAUAUGUUUCUUGUCUCUAUAAAUUUGCCUUUUUUGGACAGUACACAUAAACAGAAUCAUACUAUUUGUAUUAUUUUGUGACUGGCUUCUUCCACUUAGCAUAAUGUUUCUUUAGAUUUAUCCACAUUGUAGCAAUGUAUUAGCAGUCCAUUCUUCUUUAUUCCAGAAUAGUAUUCCAUUGUUAUGUAUACACUAUAUCCUGUUUAUGCAUUCACUAGUUGAUGGACAUUUAGAUUGCUUCCAGUUUGGGGCUAUUACAAAUAAUGCUGCUCUGAGCAUUCAUGUUUUAAGGCUUUUUGUGGUGUGGAUAUAAGUUUCCAUUUCUCUUGGGUAGAUUCCUAGGAAUAGAAUUGCUGGGUUGUAUAAUCAAUUCAUGUUUAACGUUUUAAGAUACAGCCAAACAGUUUUCCAAAGUAGCUAUAUCAUUUUACAUUCCACUAGCAACUUAUGAGGGUUCCAGUUUCUCCACAUUCUUGUCAGCACUUGAUAGUGUUUAUAUUUUUUAUUAUAGCCAUUCUGGUGCAUGUGUAGUGAUAUCUCAUCAUCAUUUUAAUUUGCACUUCCCUAAUUGACUAAUGAUGUUGAGCUCCUUCUUGGACUAUAAACCAUUCAUCUCUCUUCUUUAAUAAAACGUCUAUUCACACCUUUUGAAUUUUUUAAUUGGGUUGUAUGUAGUCUCACUGAAGUAUAAGAACUCUUCAUAUAUUCUGGAUACAAGUCCUUUAUCAGUUAUAUGAUUUGCAUAUAUUUUCUCCUAGGAUAUGGCUUAUCUUUUUGUUUUCUCAAUGGUGUCUUUUGAGUUGCAAAAUGUUUCAAUGUUACCUAAUUUAUCGAUUAUUUUAUGGCUCAUGUUUUUGGUGUCAUAGUUAAGAACUCCUUGCUUAAAACAAAGUCAUUAAGGUUUUUUUUCCUGUGUUUUCUAGUUUUAGCUCCUACCUUUAGGUCUAUGAUCCAUGUUGAGUUAACAAUGUGAGGUAAGGGUCUAAGUCCUUUUUUUUGGCAUAUGAAUAUCUGUUUCAGUAUCAUUUGUUAAAAGAAAAUCCUUUCCUCAUUGAAUUGCUUUGGCACCUUCCUUGAAAAUCAAUAGACCACAAAUGCCUAUCUUCACACCAAUACCACAAUAUCUUGAUUAUUCUAGUUUUACGUGGGUUUCAAAAUUGUGUAAUUUAAGUCACCCAGCUUUGUUUUUCUUUCACAAAAUUAUUUUGUCUAUUGUAUUUCCAAAUAAAUUUUAGGAUCAGUUUGUGAAUUUGCACAAAAAGUUUCCUGAGAUUUUGGUAGAAAUUACACUGAAUCUAUCGAUCAGGUUAGGAAGAAUUUCUAUCUUAACAAUACCAAGUCUCCCCAUUUAUUGAGAUCUUUAAUUUUUCUCAGAAAGGUUUUAUAAAUUUCAGUGUCUAAAUCUUGAACUUCUUUGUUAGAUUUCUAAGUAACUUUUUUCUUUUUGAUGCUAUUAUGAAUGGAAUUUCUUAAUUUCAUUUUUUUAUAAAAAUGACUGUUCAUUACUUAUAAAACUACAAUAGAUUUUUUACAUUGAUUUUGCAUUCUGAGACCUUGAUAAAUUGUUUAUUAGAUCAAUUAGUGUUUUUAUAGUUUCCUUAUAAUUUUCUACAAAUAAGAUAAUGUCAUCUGUGAAUACAGGCUAUUUAAUUUCUUCCUUUCUAAUCUGGAUGUCUUUGAGUAUGUGUGUGUUGGGAGGUGCUUAAUGAACUCCCCAAAACCUCUAGUACAAUGUUGCAUAGAAGUGGUGAGAGCAAACAUUCUUGUGUUGUUCCCAGUUUUCAGGGGUAAGUAUUCAGUCUUUCACUAAUAAGUAUAUUAGCUAUAGGUUUUCACAGAUGCCUUUUAUCAUGUUGAGGAGGUCCCCUUCUAUUAGUAGUUUGUUGAGAGUUUUUAUCAUGAAUGAGUGUUAGAGUUUGUCAAAUGAUUUUCUGCACCUAUUGACAUGACCAUGUAUUUUUGUUCCUUAUUCUAUAAAUAUAAUGUAUUAUAUUAAUUUUCAUAUGUUAAACCAAUUUUACAUUCUGGGAUAAAUGGUAUAAAAUCCUUUUUACAUGUGGCCAAAUUUGGUUUGCUAAUAUUUUGUUAAACAUCUAUGUUUAUGAAGGAUAUUGGCCUAAAUUUUCUUAGGGUUUUUUUUCUUUUUUUUGGUUUGGUAUUUAGUAUCAGCAUAACACCUUAUAGAAUAAAUUGUGAGUUGGUCCCUCUUCCUCUUUAUAAAAGAAUUCGUGAAGAAAAAAUUUCAUCCUUAAAUAGAAUUCAUCAAUAAAUCCAAUUGAGCCUGAGCUUUUUGUGGAAAGAAUUUUAAUUACAGUAUUUUCCAUUUAUUCUUGAGUGAAUUUUCCUAAUUUGUAACUUUUUGGGGAUUUGUCCAUUUCAUCCAAAUUGUCUAAUUUGCUGGCAUCAAGUUACUCAUAACAUGCAUGACUAAAGUUAUUCAUAGUAUACAAUCCUUUUAGUUUCUAUCAGACCGGUAGUGAUGUCUCUUUUUUCAUUUCUAAUUUUGAUAAUUUGUAUCUUCUUUCCUAUUUUCUUAGUCAGUUUAGCUGGAGAUUUGUCAAUUUUGUAGAUGUUUUCAAAGAACAAACUGAUUUUUUUCUAUUGCUUUUCUGUCUUCUAUUUCAUUAAUUUCUACUUAAACUAUCAUAUCCUUCCUUCUGCUUACACUGGGUUUAGUUUGGUCUUCUUUUUCUAGUUUCUUAAGGUGGACACUUAGGUUAUUAAUUUGAGAUCUUUCUUCUUUUCUGAGAUGGGUGUUUAGAGCUAUAAAUUUCCCUUUAAGCUUUACUUUGGCUGCAUCCCUACAUUUUGACAUGCUGUGUUUUUGUUUUCAUUUGGCUCAAAAUAUUUUAAAUUUCCCUUGUGAUUUUUUUCUUUGCCUCAUAGGCUAUUUAGAAGUAUGUUAUUUAAUUUCCAAAUAAAUGGUCUCUGAGCCUCUGUUUUUAUUUGUUCACUUUUUAAAAAUUGUUCUUUAGACUGAAUAAUUUCUUUUGCUCUGCCUUCCAGGUCACUUAUUCUUUUUUCUGCCAUCUCAAAUUUGUUUGAGUACCAUUACAGAAUUCUCUCAUUUCAUUCCAGUUACUGUACUUUUUAGUGUUGGAUUUUCCAUUUGUUUCUUCUAAAAUUAUUUCUAUCUGAUUAUUGAGAUUCUGUAUUCACCGGGUCUUUUCUUUAAUUCUUUAAACAUGGAUUCCUUUAUAUCUCUGAACAUAGUUAAGUAGCUGCUUUGCAGGCUCUUUCUGCUAAAUCUUAUCUGAGGACAGACAUGCAAACACAGUUCUUAUUAACUGCUCUUUUAUCUGUGCAUGAAUCAUGCUUUCUUGUUUCUCUGAGUGCCUCUAAUUUUUUCACUGAAUACUGAACAUUUUAGAUAACAUAUGAUAGCAACUCUGGAUUCUGACUUUUUCCCCAGAGUACUGUUAACUGGUAUUAUUAUUUUGCUUGUUUAGUAAUUUGUGUGGACUAAGUCCAUGAAACAUCCCCCGUACAAGGUACAGUUGUUCAUGUCUUUUCUCAAUUUUUUCUUGUUUUUAUUUUUAAGCUUGGAUUUCUAAGGGUCAUAUCCAUGUCUGUAUAGCUUAGUGUUCUGGCAAACACUAGUCAGACAUUUUGCUCAAACACCUUGAGCCAAAAAGGCUUCUCUCUGCUUCUGAGUCUGUGUGGGGGCUGGGGAGCACAUUCAAACUUGAGGCUGCUUUUGUAUCUGUCCCAGCUUUUACUUUCUGCUGGCUCUCUCACAUGUCCUCUGUGUAUGCACACAAGCUCUGUUGGCCAGGUACUUGUGGGUGACUUGGACACACUCUUAUCUCUGCUGCUUGUGCAUACAAACUAAGGUCAAUCUAGGAUAUAUGCAGAGCUAUGAAGCCCUUACAGCUGUCUCACCUCCCAAGACUACCAAUUAAGUCUCCAGCCAGACCACUGAUCCAAUGUUUGCCCCGAAGAGGACUGUAAACUCAAGAGAGUGGAACUCCCAACUCUUUCUAUAAUUUUAACCACUGACAUGGCCACUUUAACUAAAAAUACUCCAAAUAGAGUAUUAUGGAAGUGACAGCAAGUCUGCUGGUUUUCACAGCCUGCCCUGCUCUGGUUGAAAUAUCACACUGACAGACCUGGGGAGGAGGGAAUGGGAGCAGGUUGCUCAUGCUGUUUCUACCCAAAGUUUAGUACUUUUCAUGAACAAAUGCUUCUCAGCGUGCUGUAUGCCUUGGUCAAUUUUUAGAGAGCUGAAAUGGAUAUUUUUGACAAUCUUAUCACAGCUUUCUAGCUGCUUUUUGGGGAGAGAAUUUGGCAACCUUCUCAUUCCAUCCUGCUGGAAAUCAGCAUCUCAGCCUCUCUUCACCGUCUGCUGGAAUUAGCAUUAUUAAUACUUUUAGAAAGUAGACCAUGCAGGUAAAAAUAUCACUGGAUGAAAUCUGAUUUUUCAAAGAAAAAUGUUUGUUUUUGUUUUCUGGGGAAAAAAAGUCAGCCAACAAAUAUGAAGAUGACUAAAGGAACAAGCUUAAAUGGUUAUUUCACUAGAUUAAAUGAAGAAAUCUUAUUCCUUGGAAGCUACACUGUGGGCCCUGUAACCUGACUCCUUCACAGACAUCAGGGAAUUGAAAUGCUCCACUGGAAAGAAGCUAAUUCCAAACAUCUCAGUUAAGGUCAUGCAUCCCACAGCUGCUUUCUCUGCUCCUUAUUUUCCCACCUCUUUCUCUUAUGCUCCAACCAUGGUCAAUCAGAAAUGCAAUGGGCACUCUUUUAAUAGUCCCUUUUCUGACUGCUUCACUGGAGUUGCCCAACCUGGCCAGCUGCCUAUUUUUCUUUCUCUGUCACUCCUGUCUGGAUCUCUUGGGAAAGUCAUUUGAGCUCUGGACACCCUCAGAGUCCCAAGGAAGGAAGACAGGCUCUCUUGGCUUGAUGGAAAAAUCCCUGAGGACUCUCCAGCCUCCUGUCCUAUAUGCUCACCCUCAUCUGUCUCAUCAGGAAGUAGUGCCCCAUGGGAUGCCUGGAUAUCAUCCCUUAACCAGAUGGUAAACUCCUUGAGGGCAGAAGACCAGACUCCUUCUCUGCCAGAGUCUCCG